CUACAAGAUAUGUCAGUGGACAGCACUGGUAAUGAUGUCAAAGCCCAGUGAUACCCUUGCUUAACACCCCACCGGGCAGCGCAACACAUGGAAGAAGAGAUAGCGAGAGAUGGAGAAAUGGUAAGCCAGAAAAUUUGGGUGUAUAUUAUAUAUUAAUGUAGGGCUGAAAAUUACCACUCUCCACUCAGUGACGGAACUAAUGUAGAGAGGGCCCUGGUGCAAGAAAUAGUUUAGGGCCCCCUCUAGCACAAGAGUGGACAAAGGUAGAUGCCCAUCUGUCGUGCAACUUCCCCU